rnacentral:rRNA from 1 species
GUGGAAGGACAUAGAUGGUUUGUCAGCAGCUAUGGUCAGGUUAGGUAAUUCAUCUGAAGCUAAGCAGGUUUGGACCUGGUCAGUACUUGGCUGGGAGCCCAACUAGGAGAGCUGGGCUUCUUCUGGA